UGCAAGUCGAACGGAGCUUAGAGAGCUUGCUUUUUAAGCUUAGUGGCGAACGGGUGAGUAACGCGUGAGUAACCUGCCCUAGAGUGGGGGACAACAGUUGGAAACGACUGCUAAUACCGCAUAAGCCCACGGUACCGCAUGGUACUGAGGGAAAAGGAUUUAUUCGCUUUAGGAUGGACUCGCGUCCAAUUAGCUAGUUGGUGAGGUAACGGCCCACCAAGGCGACGAUUGGUAGCCGGACUGAGAGGUUGAACGGCCACAUUGGGACUGAGACACGGCCCAGACUCCUACGGGAGGCAGCAGUGGGGGAUAUUGCACAAUGGGGGGAACCCUGAUGCAGCGACGCCGCGUGGAGGAAGAAGGUUUUCGGAUUGUAAACUCCUGUCGUUAGGGACGAUAAUGACGGUACCUAACAAGAAAGCACCGGCUAACUACGUGCCAGCAGCCGCGGUAAAACGUAGGG
rnacentral:rRNA from 1 species